UACAAACUCGGUGUAUCUGUA
rnacentral:siRNA from 1 species